UCAUUGGGCUGGAGAGAGAACAAGAGCUAGCAGUGCUCUCUAGCUCACUCAUCAUGGCUCUUGCCUGAGCUUGGUUCCUAGCUUUAAGGACUGCUCCUGUGUUUUAUCCGUUUCAUUGGCAGGUCUACUACCUACUUGUGCUGUGAAGUUUCCUUGUUAGACGACCUCAACAUUUUGAGAGUCUAAGAAGAAGAAGGAUUACUUUUCCAUUCAAAGCAAUGCUGUAUUUUCAAGCAAAAGGUGAAAAGUCUUCUGGGGAAAAAAAAAUCCACGUUCAGUUGAGUAGAACAGAGACCUGACAGCGUAGAGCUGAGCACGUGUUUUCUUGACCAUUCUUGCCACUGGAGAGUUUACAUACCCAACACCUAAUAUUAGCUCCUAUUGUGAUUUAAUGGAGGCUGGGCACUUGCAUUAACACUUAAGAAACUCCCUAAUCCCAAAAUGGAUGAGACCUUGGAAUGGGCUAAUUUCACAGGGCUGGAUUCUGUCACACUCACUCCCAUUGGUUAGGACCUUCCUUUGUGUACAUUUCUACUGAUUCUACUCUCUGGACGGGGCAGAAGAAUGAAUAUCCAGGAACAGUCCCAGAUCUAAUAUCUCCAUCACAAACUCAGAAGUGCACCCAUGUUUGCCAGUGUUGGCUCCAUCUUGUCUGGAUAGACUGAAACCAGCAAACCUUCACCCAAGCCCCUGAAUUUAUGUAAAUCCUGUGAUACUUUAUGUAUCAUACUAUCUAUGCCAAAUCUAAUAAAUAGAGACUGGUUGUUAUCA